rnacentral:rRNA from 1 species
AGAGUUUGAUCCUGGCUCAGGACGAACGCUGGCGGCGCGCCUAACACAUGCAAGUCGAACGAGCGAGAGAGAGCUUGCUUUCUCAAGCGAGUGGCGAACGGGUGAGUAACGCGUGAGGAACCUGCCUCAAAGAGGGGGACAACAGUUGGAAACGACUGCUAAUACCGCAUAAGCCCACGGGUCGGCAUCGACCAGAGGGAAAAGGAGCAAUCCGCUUUGAGAUGGCCUCGCGUCCGAUUAGCUAGUUGGUGAGGUAACGGCCCACCAAGGCAACGAUCGGUAGCCGGACUGAGAGGUUGAACGGCCACAUUGGGACUGAGACACGGCCCAGACUCCUACGGGAGGCAGCAGUGGGGAAUAUUGCACAAUGGGGGAAACCCUGAUGCAGCGACGCCGCGUGGAGGAAGAAGGUCUUCGGAUUGUAAACUCCUGUUGUUGAGGAAGAUAAUGACGGUACUCAACAAGGAAGUGACGGCUAACUACGUGCCAGCAGCCGCGGUAAAACGUAGGUCACAAGCGUUGUCCGGAAUUACUGGGUGUAAAGGGAGCGCAGGCGGGAAGACAAGUUGGAAGUGAAAUCCAUGGGCUCAACCCAUGAACUGCUUUCAAAACUGUUUUUCUUGAGUAGUGCAGAGGUAGGCGGAAUUCCCGGUGUAGCGGUGGAAUGCGUAGAUAUCGGGAGGAACACCAGUGGCGAAGGCGGCCUACUGGGCACCAACUGACGCUGAGGCUCGAAAGUGUGGGUAGCAAACAGGAUUAGAUACCCUGGUAGUCCACACCGUAAACGAUGAUUACUAGGUGUUGGAGGAUUGACCCCUUCAGUGCCGCAGUUAACACAAUAAGUAAUCCACCUGGGGAGUACGACCGCAAGGUUGAACUCAAAGGAAUUGACGGGGGCCCGCCAAGCAGUGGAGUAUGUGGUUUAAUUCGACGCACCGCGAAGACCUUACCAAGUCUUGAAUCCUGCGACGGUGCUGGAAACAGUACUUUCCUUCGGGACGCAAAAACAGUGGGUCCAUGGUUGCCUUCAACUCUGGCCGGGAAAUGUGGGUUAAUCCCCCACCAGCGGACCCUUAUGGCAGUAUUACCCAAGAGACUUUGCCCAGACUGCCGUUGACAAAACGGAGGAAGGUGGGGAUGACGUCAAAUCAUCAUGCCCUUUAUGACUUGGGCUACACACGUACUACAAUGGCGUUAAACAAAGAGAAGCAAGACCGCGAGGUGGAGCAAAACUCAGAAACAACGUCCCAGUUCGGACUGCAGGCUGCAACUCGCCUGCACGAAGUCGGAAUUGCUAGUAAUCGUGGAUCAGCAUGCCACGGUGAAUACGUUCCCGGGCCUUGCACACACCGCCCGUC